GCUGGGAUAGCCCAGUUGGUAGACCGUGGGACUCUUAAUCUCGGUUAUGGGUUUGAGCCCCAUGUUGGGGCA